rnacentral:tRNA from 1 species
GCCCCCGUAGCUUAAUGGAUAAAGCAGCGCUCUUCUAAGGCGUUGAUGCGGGUUCGAUUCCUGCCGGGGGCGCCA